UGGCCGCCAUCGAGACGCCACAGCCUGCUUCCCACCCCUCUGGAUUUAGCAGAAAUGGGCUGCAAUGUCAGCGCUGACACACCGCUCGGGUUGGGCUCUGCUGUGCUGCACGCGCCCAGGCAUCACGUAUGUGCAUCCAUCCACCUGCUUUCACCCUUAGCUAGAGCCACACCACUGGGCAGCCAUGGUAUCUAUCGGGGAAAUGCAGUUUACCUAUCACUAUCUUUUUUAUUUAGACAGGUUAGAGGUGUUACUGGACAGGCUUUCCAGGAUCUUUUGCAUCACAGCCCAGAGGCAGCUUUAUACCAGUACAAAAUCACUGAGGGAUCCAGGGCCUCCUUGAACAAACUGGGAUGGCCUUGCUGCAGGAAGAGCAGAGGAACCAGCAGCUCCUGGAAGAUACCUGGCUAUAACCAAGCUGGGCAGCACCUGCUAGUCCACCCCC
rnacentral:lncRNA from 1 species